AGUAGCUAUGGCCUAUAGGAGAAUAUCGGCUCUGCAAAAGCUCUCACAUGUAUCGAAUGAGUCAUGGAUGGGUAAGUACAGCGUGUACGUAGGCCUAUACUGAGCUCGUGUAAACACUUGUGAUGAUUGGACAUCGAGUAUACCCAGUAGAACCAAAGUUUGAUUUGUAUCCUUGCUUUCCACAUUAUUGUGGUCAUGUGAAGACGGUGAUGUGUGCUUGUAGCAUAUGGCUUGUAGCGGGUCUGCCUCAAAACCGGAAUGUUAACAGCGCUUUCUCAUCCAAACGUCAUGCUGUAACUACCACUAAAUUCCCCGGCACACGAGCAGCCUGAUGCGGCUCUUACAGUGGCACGUUCGAUGAACGUCUAACGGCAUAAUGACAUGCUCGAGAAUCUCCCUCGUUUUGAUUUUGCUUCUGAUGCUCAUCUGCUGUGCUCUGCUAAUCGCCUUUGGCAUCAUCUUUAUCAGACCGUACGUGAUAACCUCUGCUUACUCUCCGGCUAAGUGUAGAGCGGUUAACGUGACAGAUCAUGGUUACAUGGUGUGUACAUGUAGCAGCGACGACGAUGAUGACGACUGCCAUUCGGUGUUUCCCUGCGUGGAGAUUACAGUAGAAAUCAACCCGAACCAUUCCAAGGAAACUCGCGAGAGCCGGUUAUUCCUAUACUACACGAGCGAUUACAUUACGGAAAAGUGUGCUAUCAUGACAUGUGAUCAGUAUCUGAACAAGAACAAGGCACGAGUCAGCAGAUUUGUCAGUAUGUACGGCAACACUGACCGGAACGCCACCUACGAUUGUUUCUACAACUCAAAGAACCCAGGGGAGGUGAUCAUAGAGAAGACGUCUGUGAGAACUGUUAUAAUGGCCAUGCUCUGGCCAUCGCUGGUUUUAGUCAUCUUCGCCAUCGUUCUGCUCGUUUGUCACUGUCGGUCAAAGGACAACGGUUAUUUCGGCAUGUUUCGUACAUCAAGGAAUAACUACGCCAUCUGAACAUGGAAACUGUGGACUCGAAAUAAGUAUAGAUCACCAGAAAGAAAAAUAUUUGGGCGACAAUGUCAUUUUAACUGCGGUGGAUAUUUUACAGGACUUUGUCACGUGAUUGUUACAGGGGAGUUGCCGUGGAUAUCAGAAAAUCGCUCCCUUUUCCGUGUGAUUUGGAAACCAUGCACUAAGUAGCUUGUUAUAGAACAACUCCAAGGGAAACGGAAGACAGUGAAGACCAUCGUUUACUUAUCUCAGUAAGAUGAUAUGAGAACAACCUUACUCAUACUUAUCUGAGUACGAUGAUAUGAGUACAGCCUACUUCGCGUCAUCUGAUGACGAAUCUUCACUGAAACACGGAAUAGGUGCUUCUUCUGCAUGAAGAGUGGAAUUCCUGGAAUAAAUACACGUCAUCUGAGAAUGGCUCUUGAAAUAAU